UCUCUCUAUUCGGCUCUCUCUCACUCUCUCCAUUUCUCAACCAAAAACCCACCAAAAUCACUUGGAACCUUUACAAUCCAACCUCCAAUUUGUAUUCUAAACGCGAUUCAAGCUUAAAAAUUCGUGGGUCUUGCUUGGAGGGAGCUGUUCAAGGUUGAGAUUGAAGAUCUUGGAGUCAAAGCUUGAUUAAUCUUGGGGAUCUUGCUCUCCAAAUUCGAGGUUCAUUGCAGGUCAUGGUCAUGGAAUAUUUGGAGUGCAUGCAGACGUUAUCGAGCAAAGCUAUUUUGGAGAAUACUUUAUUAUUCUUGUAAAACGAACCGCUUUGUUAUGAAAUUCCUAUCUUAGAAGAUGGUAUUUGUAGACCAGUUUGUGGAAUUGUAAAUUGUAUUGUA